rnacentral:tRNA from 1 species
GGCUCUGUGGCUUAGUUGGUCAAAGUGCCUGUCUAGUAAACAGGAAUUCCUAGGUUCAAAUCCCAGCAGUGCCU